rnacentral:rRNA from 1 species
UACGUAGGGGGCUAGCGUUGUCCGGAAUCAUUGGGUGUAAAGCGCGUGUAGGCGGCCCGGUAAGUCCGCUGUGAAAGUCCAGGGCUCAACCCUGGGAUGCCGGUGGAUACUGUCGGGCUCGAGUCCGGAAGAGGCGAGUGGAAUUCCUGGUGUAGCGGUGAAAUGCGCAGAUAUCAGGAGGAACACCAAUGGCGAAGGCAGCUCGCUGGGACGUGACUGACGCUGAGACGCGAAAGCGUGGGGAGCAAACAGG